rnacentral:rRNA from 1 species
CCUACGGGGGGCAGCAGUGAGGAAUAUUGGUCAAUGGACGAGAGUCUGAACCAGCCAAGCCGCGUGAGGGAUGACUGCACUAUGUAUUGUAAACUUCUUUUAUAUGGGAAUAAAAUGUUCCACGUGUGGGCUUUUGUAUGUACCAUAUGAAUAAGGAUCGGCUAACUCCGUGCCAGCAGCCGCGGUAAUACGGAGGAUCCGAGCGUUAUCCGGAUUUAUUGGGUUUAAAGGGAGCGUAGGUGGAUUGUUAAGUCAGUUGUGAAAGUUUGCGGCUCAACCGUAAAAUUGCAGUUGAAACUGGCAGUCUUGAGUACAGGAGAGGUAGGCGGAAUUCGUGGUGUAGCGGUGAAAUGCUUAGAUAUCACGAAGAACUCCGAUUGCGAAGGCAGCUCACUGGACUGAAACUGACACUGAGGCUCGAAAGUGUGGGUAUCAAACAGGAUUAGAUACCCCAGUAGUC